ACUUAGCCUCAAGAAGCUCACAGAGCUAGCUCCACUUUAGGGGAUGGCAGAAUGGUGAAUACAUAAAACAGAAGAAUCUUUAACAUUUGGGAGGUGGAGGCAGGAAGAUCAGUUUAAGGUUAUCCUUGGCUAUAUAGUGACUUGGGACCAAUUUGCAAAAAGAAAAAAAAUAAGAAGAAAGAAAACGAAAUAUUUUCACCUCGAGAGGCAUAGUCACUGUGGAGAAGUAGAGAUAUGACUGGGAGCAGCUGGUCACAUCUACAUUCAAGAACAGAGAGAGAAUGAACAUAUGGCUGCCCGUGCAGGACCCCAGACUUAGGGGAUGGUACCGCCCAUGGAUUUCUCUGGGUACCGGAACUCAUGCUGUAGACCAGAGUGGUCAUGAACUCAGAAACCUGCCUACUACCUCUGCCUCCUGAGUGCUGGGAUUAAAGGCAUGCACCACCACCUACCUGCACGACAAUCAAAAUUUAACCUCCACAACCGUAUGUGUUUGCCUACCCAUCAGGGGAUAGACAUUUGGAAUAGAACCAAGAAGGACCUGACCAAGUUAUAUCCUCGCUAUCGGCAAGAAAAUCUUAGAACAACGUGCCAAUAUGC
rnacentral:lncRNA from 1 species